GAAUAACCCUGUAGGCUUCAGAU
rnacentral:piRNA from 1 species